rnacentral:rRNA from 1 species
ACUGCGUACAGCUCAUUAUAUCAGUUAUUAUUUAUUUGAUGGUACCUUACUACAUGGAUACCCGUAGUAAUUCUAGAGCUAAUACAUGCGUAAAGUCCCGACUUUUUGGAAGGGAUGUAUUUAUUAGAUUAAAAACCAAUGCAGGCAACUGCUCCUUUGGUGAUUCAUAGUAACUU